CCCCUCCCGGUGCCGCCCCCGCUCCUCUCGGCUCCCUACCCGUCUCCCUCUGCGCCGGGCACGGCGGGCCCUACCCCAUGGGCGAGGUGGCGAGGGCAGAAAAUCCUUGGGGCGGCGGCGAGCGGGGGCGAGGACCCAGCUGCAGCCUCUGGGGCGUCUCCGGAAAGUUUAGCGCCUGAGGGAGUGAACUCUGGAGCUGACCUUCCUGGUCUCUAAGCCAUGUGUCCCCGGUGGGAUUUGGCUGUUCACAGUUCUUGGUUUAGCAUCUUCUUCUGGAAACAACCAAGGGAGGCAGGCCAGACAAAGAAUCCCACCAUUACCAUUUUAAACCAAGCUGCUAUCAUCUCCAGCCUGGUUUCUGGCAACGCAGAUGGAUCCUGCUGGGACAUCCUCCUUACUCUGGAGCCCACAGAUGGGAUCCUGGGAGAACGGGCAGAGGCUGGUGAAGGGAAGAUUAGCCCUGAGCGAACAUCUGCUGCCGAUCCUCCUGGUUUUGCUGAGGAAGACUGGCCCUGAGCUAACAUCCGUGCCCAUCUUCCUCUAUUUUAUAUGUGGGACGCCUGCCACAGCAUGGCUUGAUAAGCAGUGCCAUGUCCGCACUUGGGAUCCGAACUGGUGAACCCUGAGCCCCCAAACUGGAACAUGCGAACUUAACUGCUGUGCCACUGGGCUGGCCCCCCCCAAAAUACAAUAAAAAUAAAAAUUGUACAGUUUAAGGGCAUUAAGUACAUUUACAAUGCUGUGAAACCAUUACCACUAUCUAGUUCCAGAACAUUUUCAUCAUCCCAAAAGGAAACCCUAUACUCAUUAAGUGGUGACUUUUCAUCCCCGUUUCAAUAACUUGAUAACCAUAAUUUUUUUAAGCCAUUUUAUCUUCUGUCACUUUAUAAAAGUUUGGGUUGAGUAUCUUAUCCAGUCAGCCUGAUGCCCCAGAAAAAAAGAAUCAUGACAGCUUCCAAGAAAUCCAGUGGAAAUAACUGUAUUGUCAUAUAUGUCAUAACUGGUUAAAAAAAC
rnacentral:lncRNA from 1 species